rnacentral:rRNA from 1 species
CAAGACCUUGCGCUUUUGGAGCGGCCGAUGUCUGAUUAGCUAGUUGGUGAGGUAAAGGCUUACCAAGGCGUCGAUCAGUAGCUGGUCUGAGAGGACGACCAGCCACACUGGGACUGAGACAUGGCCCAGACUCCUACGGGAGGCAGCAGUGGGGAAUUUUGGACAAUGGGGGAAACCCUGAUCCAGCCAUGCCGCGUGAGUGAAGAAGGCCUUCGGGUUGUAAAGCUCUUUCAGCCGGAACGAAACGGUCACAGCUAAUACCUGUGACUACUGACGGUACCGGAAGAAGAAGCACCGGCUAACUACGUGCCAGCAGCCGCGGUAAUACGUAGGGUGCGAGCGUUAAUCGGAAUUACUGGGCGUAAAGCGUGCGCAGGCGGUUUUGUAAGUCAGAUGUGAAAUCCCCGGGCUUAACCUGGGAACU